AAGGUAGUGUAGUUAACACCUGCAUUAUUUGACGUUACCUACAGAAGAAGCACCGGCUAACUCCGUGCCAGCAGCCGCGGUAAUUACGGAGGGUGCGAGCGUUAAUCGGAAUUACUGGGCGUAAAGCGCAUGCAGGCGGCCUGUUAAGUCAGAUGUGAAAGCCCGGGGCGUUAACCUCGGAAUUGCAUUUGUAAACUGGCAGGCUAGAGUCUUGUAGAGGGGGGUAGGAAUUUCAGGUGUAGCGGUGAAAUGCGUAGAGAUCUGAAGGAAUACCAGUGGCGAAGGCGGCCCCCUGGACAAAGACUGACGCUCAGAUGCGAAAGCGUGGGGAGCAAACAGGAUUAGAUACCCUGGUAG
rnacentral:rRNA from 1 species